CACCGCGGUUAUACGAGAGACCCAAGUUGAUGACCACCGGCGUAAAGCGUGGUUAAGUUAAAACUCACACUAAAGUCAAACAUCUUCAAGACUGUUAUACGUACCCGAAGACAGGAAGUUCAACCACGAAAGUGACUUUACAUGAUCUGACCCCACGAAAGCUAAGGAA
rnacentral:rRNA from 1 species